UCUUUCUUCUUCGUCUUUCGUUUCCUCUGCCGCAGCUGUUUUUCCGCUGCAUGAUACCUAUCCCCUUUCUCCCAGAUCUGCUCUUCAUCUUGGCUUUUCUUUCAUUCCCGGCUCGAGCUUCGAUUAGAUCGUUUCUGUACCUGUGUUUCAAUGGUAAUUUUUUGCCGUUUCGUGCUCUAUUCCGGUUUUGAUCACUGUGCUCUUCUAUCACAGACUUUGAUUUGUUCUCGCUUUAGAUCGAUGGAGUUUGGUUGACCGCGACGGCAAAUCGAGAACUAACUUGGAUCUCUUGCGUCUAUAUCUUCGAUGAUCUAUUUUCGUUUGGAGCAGUGGAAGAGAAUCUUGAACGACUAAUUAUCGGCUGGGACGGAUUGUGUGGGUGGACCGGGAUUCUGUUGAUCUAAACGAUGGUGAUACUGGCCGCCGAAGAAGAAGCCACUUGGGUCCGUUGACUUUGUGUGGAUUAUAGUGGGGUUUGAUACUACGUGUGUGUCAUAUUUAUUUAUAUUCCUUGCCUGAUUAUUAUGUUAUUGUCUGUUAUUUUAGCAAUACGAUCUAUUAAGAGGCAAGGAUGGUGUGAGAUUUAUGAGCAUCAGGUAUUAUCUUGUAAGGUAUUGUGGCCAUGUAUCGACCUUUGCCAUGACAGGUGCGCUUGCUUGGCAGGUCAAAUACACUCAAUAAAAACCUCUCUUUUUGUUUUGGGGGGAGACGGCCCUUGGGGUUUUUUUCUCAUUUUGGGCCGGUCUCCCUCCAUGGGCGUGCUCUCU